rnacentral:piRNA from 1 species
UCCUAGUACAGGUUGUUGGGAAACUCAGU